rnacentral:piRNA from 1 species
UUGGUGGGACUAGCAUGUCACUAAAGCAGG